rnacentral:rRNA from 1 species
GAUGAACGCUGGCGGCGUGCUUAACACAUGCAAGUCGAACGACGAAGCCCAGCGUGCUGGGUGGUUUAGUGGCGAACGGGUGAGUAACACGUGAGUAACCUGCCCUUAACUCUGGGAUAAGCCUGGGCGACUGGGUCUAAUACCGGAUAGGAGCGCCUACCGCCUGGUGGGUGUUGGAAAGAUUUAUCGGUUUUGGAUGGACGUGCGCCGUAUCCGCAUGUUCGUGUGGUAAUGGCUCACCCAGGCGAAGGCGGAUAGCCGGCCUUAGAGGGUGAGCGGCCACACUGGGACUGAGAGACGGCGCAGACGCCUACGGGAGGCAGCAGUGGGGAGUAUGACACAGUGGGCGAAAGUCUGAGGCAGCGACGCCGGGUGAGGGAUGACGGCCUUCUGGUUGUAAACCGCUUUCAGUAGGGAAGAAGCGAUAGUGACGGUACCUGAAGAAGAAGCACCGGCUAACUACGUG